rnacentral:lncRNA from 10 species
GUAGUCUCUUAACGGCUCCCGGCUCUCUGGUCGCCUGGCUGCAGGACUACAAUUCCAGCAGGCACCGGGCUCAGUGGGAGGGGCAGGGUGGUGUGGACCUGGCAAAGCAGUGCUGCCCGCUCACCCCCUGCUGCCCUGUCUCCAUGGGGAGUGAGUUUGGAGAGAGAUAUAAGGGAUAAAUCUGGGCUUUUGCCCAAAUCUGGCAGGUCCUACCUCCGGCUGAGCAGCUCUUCCUCUCUUUAUCCUUAUCCGCUGGUUUUUCCAUGGCAUCGCGCCUCCUUCAGCCCAUGGAGCCGCCUGCUUUCCUAAACUACUACAGAAACUGGCCUGAUGGCUGUCUGAGACAUUGUACAUUGUGCCACCGGCCUCUGCUUACUCCAGGCAGAGCGCCAGUUCAGCAGCAUUUGGGAGAAAUUUGCUGCCUGGGCCGCCCGUAAACAACUUGAGCUUUGCAGUGGGUAACAUGGGCUGUGGUUUGGUGAAAAUGUCAACCUCACUGACCCCUUUUUCGUGGAAGUAGAAGUCGAGACAUGAGGGAGAGUAAUUAUUGGCUUACCCGGGAUCUGCUAAAAGCAGAGGAGAAAGCCCCAGUGUUUCCAGGCAUGUGUCUGGGUGGGCCAUUUUUACCAACCCAUUUAAGGGGCUAGGCCUCCAAAAAUCAACCUAAAGGUAAUGAUUGUUUUGAUAUUUUACACAUGUGAUCAUGGCUUCAUCUCACCUUAGACCUGACUGGCCAGUGUCUCAAAGACAUAGAUGGUGACCAGCUCUCUCUGGAACAGAUGGCACUCCAGCUUUGUGGGAGCAACUUUCAAGGACCUGUCUACAAGCAACAUUGUAACAUAUUUCUGAGCCCAUCACAUGGAUAAUGUGACCCUUCUCUUUUUGUCCUGCCCCAAGUGAAGAUUGUGACAUGUCACCAGGCCCUUUGUCUAGGCAAUAUGACUCUUCUCUCCUGUCUGGGCCCUGAUUACAAGGGGGAUUGUGACAAUCACUGGGCCCAUCAUGUAGAUAAUAAGAGUUUCUCUUCCUGCCUGGGCCUUUUCUACAGAAAAGAUUAAGACAUCACUGGGCCAAGCACCCACAUGAUGUCACUCGCCUGCCUGCAUUCUGCCUACAGUGGGUAUUGUGACAUAUCCCUGGCACAGAACCAAGGUAACGUGACUCACCUACCUGGUUCCUGCCCACUGAUGGGAUUGUGACAUAUACCUAGGUCCAGCUCACAGGCAUGAUGAUAACUGUCAUACGUGGACCCAGCCAAUAAGAGAUUUUUGCUCUUAGGCUUAUUACAACAGGUAUGCUUCUGGGUAUUCUACAUAUAGAGAGGUCACGGACUAUUAGGACGCUCAUGCAUAUUUUAUAAAGACCUUGGGUGGUACACAGAUGUUGUCACAGGCCAGUGCACAUGUGAAAUUGUGACUCCCCUAGGCAUACCCAGCCAAUCAUUAAGAUUUUCACCCUCAAUGCAUGCAUACAGCCCACUCUUGAGGUUCUCAAUCUCACACCUGGUAGCAGUCAAAAUUUGGAAUUGUGACUCUCAUAUGGGGAUUUGAUUGACAGGUAAAAUUAUAACUCUUUUUUUUUUUUUUUUUUUUUUUUUUUUUGAGACAGAGUCUCGCUCUGUCACUCAGGCUGGAGUGCAGUGGCAUGAUCUCAGCCCGCUGCAACCUUCGCCUUCCAGGUUCAAGCAGUUCUCCUGCCUCAGCUCUUGGACAAAACUUCAGCACUCCUGCUAGGGUGUGUCUGCCCUACUAAGACACUGUGCGCAGGUGGAGUUGAGGCUCUUAUGUAUGGAUCCUGUCCACUGUUGAGAUUGUGAAUUGCAUGUGUAGACUCAACUCACAGGAGGUGUUGACUCACAAACCUCCAGCUGGGACAUGUGCAGGAUUAGAAAUUUUAUUUCUGGAUCUUUCUUCAGAAGGCGUUGUAACAUCUCACUAAGCCCAGCACUCAGGCGAUGUGGCUUUCCUGCUAUGGCACUGCACACAAGAAGAAUGUUGACAUAUUCCUGGCCCAGAAUUCAGGUGAUGUGACUCUUGCCUGAUCCACACCCAGAGGUGAAAUUUUUACAUAUACCCAGGCCCAGUUAGUGGACAUGAUAAUGACCCUCAUACAUAGACUCAACCAAAACAACAGAUUUUUUUACUCUUCUGGCUAGACUUAGGGACACAGGUAAGGUUCUGGGUUUUCUUAUAAAAGGUCAUGGGAGAUUAUGACACAAAUAUUUUACAAAGCCCUUGGGUGGUAUAAGCUAUGUCAUAACACGGUCCAACACGCAGGUGAGAUUGUGACUCCCAUAGGUGCACCCAGCCAACAAUGGGAUUGUCACCCUUAAACCUAGACACAGCCCACUGGUGAGGUUAUAAAUCUCACAUAUGGAUGCAGACCACAGUUGGAAUCGUGACUGUCGUAUGUGGAUUUGGCCACAGGUCAAAGGGAAGUCAUUUCUUGACUAACUCACAGGCACAGUGUUGUCUCUUACACUUGAACCAAGCUAACAGAAGAGACGUUCACUCUCAUUGUUACGCUUGGGAAAAUGGGGAUGGUUCUGGGUUUUCUACUUGUACAAAGGUCACAAAAAAAAUCACAACACAUACAACAUAAAAUCACAUACAGUAUAAUGCCCUGUGGUGGUACAGAGAGUGUCAACACAGCCCAAUACAAAGUUGAGACUUAUUCUCAUACCCACAGCCAGCUGACAGUAAGAAUUGUCACCCACACAUGUGGGCAGAUCCCACUAGUGACAUCCUGACUUUGCCUUGUGGACACAGUUCACAGUUGAAAUUGUGACUGUCAUAUGCAGAUCUGACCACAGGUAAGAUUGUGACUCAUUUCUGGACCCAGCUCACAAACAUGGUGAUGACUCUCAUAGCUGGACCCAGACAAGAGAAAUUAUGUUGACUUCUGCCUGGGCUUAGGGUAACGGGUAAGAUCUUGGAUCCAUAAAAACAUAAAGUUCUCAGAGCAGAAUUCCACUCUCAAGCAUGUUGUGUGAAGAUCUCAGAUGGUACAAAGAGUGUCAUAACAGAGCCAAAAACAUAGAGGAAAUUGUGAAUCUCCUAUGCAUACCUAGCCAACAAUGAGGAUAGUCACUCUCCCAUAUAGACACAGCUCACUGUUGAGGUUCUGAAUCUCGUGCCCAGAGGCAAUGAAAAGUUGAAAGUUUGACUCACAUACAUGCAUCUGGUCAACAGGUAGGAUAGUGACUCUGAGACCAAGAUUCAGCACCCUGGUGAGGCUGUGCCUAUCUUAUGGGGACUCUGUUUGAAGGUGGAGAUGGAGCUCUCAUGCACGGAUCCUGUCCGAUGUUAAGACUGUGUCUCGUGUAUUUGGAUGCAACUCACAAGAGGUGUUGACUCUCAGACCUAAAGCUGGGAAAUAUGUAGAAUUGUGAAAUUUAUUCCUGGUCCUUCCCGCAGGUGUGAUUGUGGCGUAUAUGUUCACACAGCACUUAAUUUAUUUUACAAUUUGUUUGAACUCAGCCAACUGUUGGGACUGUGACAUAUACCUGGACCAAGUUCCUAGGUGAUGUAACUCUCCAGCCUGGGCCUUACCACAGGGUACAUUGUGACAUAUCUUUGGACUUAUCACCUAUGUGAUGUGACUCUACUGACUUGCCUUGUCUUGGCCUCCAUUGGGGAUUGUGGCAUAUUUCUGUGCCCAGUACCUAAGUUAUGUGACUCUUCUUUCCUGCUUGUGCAUUUAGAAGGGAUUGUGACAUAUUGCUGGGCCAAGAACCUAGGUGAUGUGACUCUCCUGCCUUGGCCCUGCCUUCAGGAAAAAUUGUGAUGUGACUCUGGGUUUAUUACCUAGAUGAUGUGACUCUUGUGUUCUGCAUGGGCAAGCCCAAAGGGGUCAUUGUGGCAUAUCUCUGGGCACAUCAAAGAAGUGGUGUAAUUUUUCUCUCAUUCCAGGACUCUAGUCUCAGUAGGGAUUGUGACAUAUCACUGGGCCCAUAACCUAUGUCAUGUGAUUCUAGUAUCCUGCUUGGGCCCUGCUUACAGGAAAGAUUGUGACAUUUGGCUGGGCCCAUCACCUAGUUAAUGUGACUCUCCUUUUCUUCCUGUGCCCUGCCCUCAGUGGAGAUUGUGACAAAUUUCUGGGCCAAUCAGCUGUGCAAUAUGACUCUGCUCUUUCCUGGGCCCUGCUAUCGGGGAGCAUUGUGACAUAUUGCCAGGCUCAGCACCUAGGUGAAAUUGUGGCAUAUACCUGGGUCCAGAUCACAGGCACAAUGAUGACUCUCUUACCUGGACACAGCCAGUGGGAAAUAUUUUGACUUUUGUAGCCAGGCUUAGGGCCACAGGUAAUGUCCUGGGUCUCUUACUUGUAUAAAAUUUACAGAACAUUACAACACUCAGGACUAUCAUAGGAAGACCUACAGUGAUACAGAGAGUUGAUAACAGGGCCUAGCUAACAGCUGAGAUUGUGACUCUCAUAUGCAGACCCAGCCUACAGGCUCUUCAUUCUUACACAUAAACAGAGCCUAUGAAUGUGGCACUUAAUCUCACACAUAAACACAGUUGCAAGUUGGAUUUGUUACUCUCAUAUGUGGAUCUGGUUUCCAGGUGGUUUGGUGACUCUCAAACCAUGAUUCAGCAGACCUGUGAGGCUGUGAGUUCCCUAUCAGAACACAAUCUGCAGGAAGCAUUGGAACAUAUCACUUAGCCCAGCACCUAGGUGGAUGGGAUUCCCUUUCUUGCCUGGUCCCUGCCCACUGGAGAGAUUGUGACCCAUUGCUGAGCCCAGCACCAAGGUGAUGUCACUCUCCUGCCUUGGCCAUGCCCAUGAGGGCCACUGUGACACCUGUCUAGGCUAAUUACUUAGGUGAAGUUGUAUUGUGCCAUAUACCUGGGACCAAAUUACAAGCACAAUGAUGAAUCUUUUACCUGGAGUCAAGACAUGGGCAGGAUGAUGGAACUUAUCACUGGACCUUUCCACAGUGUUAUUGUGACAUAUGCCUUUGCCCAACAUGUGGUGAUUUGACUCCCCAGACUGGGUCCAGUUCACAAAUAAAAUUGUGCCGUAUACUUGGCCAAGAACCUAAUAGGUGUAAUUGAUGUGCCUGGG